rnacentral:rRNA from 1 species
AAAAUUUCAAAGGUCGAACAGACCUAAUUAUUAAACAUCUUCAUUUAAUAUAAAUUUUAAUCCAACAUCGAGGUCGCAAUCUUUAAUUUUUAUAAGAACUAAAAAUUAAAAUUACG